rnacentral:rRNA from 1 species
AUGGAAGCUCGUCACGUCGUACGACGACAACCCGCCGCCCCUCGACCCCGGCGACGACGUCCCGUCCUGCUCGCCGUCCUUCAACUCCCGCCGCCGCGUCACCCACCGCCGCGCCAGCGCCAGCAUUGCCACCACGCACACCACGCAGCACACCCCGACGAUCCACGCGCUCCCGGCGAACCCCCGCUUCUCUCCGCCCUUCUGGCACAGCGGCAGCGCCGUGUCGCUCAGGUUGAGCCGGAACGCCACGCACAGCCCCGGGUUGCCGGCCACGCUCUCCAGCAGCCCUUCCUUGAUCAUCGCCGGCGGCACCGGCCCCGACAGGUUGUUGCCGGCGAAGUCCAGCGAGUUGGGCAGCAGCGCGCACAGCGCCUCCGGUAUCUGCCCCGACAGCGCGUUCUCCGACAGGUUCAGCACGUUGAGGCUCCUCAGGUCGGCGAGCGUCUCCGGGAUGGGGCCGUUCAGGCGGUUCCCCUGCAAGGACAGCUGGUUAAGCCGGACCAGCCUCCCCAUCGCCGCCGGGAUCGGGCCGGCGAUGAGGUUGUUGCUCAGGUCGAUCUUCACGAGGCCCCAAACGUCGGCGAUCUCCGGCGGGAGCAUGCCGGACAGCCGGUUGGCGGACGCGAACAGCGAGGUGAGGUUCUUGGCGCCGGCGAUGGACGGGGGCACCGACCCGGUGAAAUGGUUGUAGGAGAGGUCCACGAUGGAGGCAUGCGGCAGCGCGAAGAUGCCCGGCGGCACGUCGCCCUCCAGGUGGUUGCUGCUCACGCGGAACCGGAGGAGCGGCAGGCAGUCGGCGUAGGCCGCCGGGAUGGUGCCGGUGAGCAGGUUGCUGAGGACAAGGAUGUACUGGAGCUUACCGUUGGCGCAGGCGUGCAGCGGCAGCGGGCCCGUGAGCUGGUUCUCGGAGACCUCGAGCACGUUGAAGUCGGAGUAGCGGCCGAGGUCGGUGGGGAGCUCGCCGGUGAGCUGGUUCUUGUACACGGAGAGGAUCUCGAGCUGCGUGGAGUUGCCCAGCACGGCCGGGAUGGGCCCGGUGAGGAAGUUGGUGUAGAGCUGCAGCACGCGGAGGCGCGGCAGCGCGCAGAGCGAGUCCGGGAUGGCGCCCUCGAGGCGGUUCUCGGAGAAGUCGACGUCGGCGAGGCGCGUGAGGUUGCCGAGCUCGUCGGGGAUGGCGCCCUCCAGGUCGUUGUAGUAGAGCUCGAGGAACUCGAGGUUGGCGAGGCGGCCGAGCGACGCCGGGAUGCGGCCGGUGAGGGAGUUGCCGCUGAGCUCCAGGAAGGUGAGGGACGUCAUGUUGCCGAGCCACGCCGGCACGCCGCCGCGCAUGGACGUGGUGGACAGGAUGAGCACGCGGAGGCGCCGCAGCCGCGUGAGCGCCUCCGGCGGGCGCCACACGUCGAACCCGGGGUUCUCGUUGAAGUUGAUCACCUCCAGCGAGGUCAUGCCGGCGAGGGACGCCGCCGGGAACGCGCCGGAGAAGAGGUUGUCGGAGAGGUCGAGCACCCGCAGCGCCCGCAUCGGGGACAGGUCCGGCAGCGCGCCCGACACGCUGGCGAAGCUGAGGUUGAGCGUCUCGAGGGACGAGCAGUUGAGGAGGCCCGGCGGGAAGCCGCCGCGGAUUUCGUUGUAGGCGAGCAGGAGGUCCCGGAGCGCCGGCAGCGCCGCGCAGAUGCCGGGCGGGAGCCUGCCUGUCAGCCGCCACGAGGUGAGGUCGAUGCCCGUCACGUUGCCAUCUCCCCCGUCGCACACCACGCCCUGGAACCGGCAGUAGUCGACCGGCGCAGACGAGAAGUCCCAGCGCGCCAUGGCCGGGCCGGCGAGCUCCUGCUUGAGCCGGGACAGGUACGCAGCCUGCGCGUCCAAUGCCGCCGCGCCAUCGCCGGCCGCCGACAGGAGAGCGACGACGACGAGCAGCAAGGCCGUCGAGCACAGCGUGGCCACCAUGGCUGCUGUAUCCAGCACGUACGCACCUAG